rnacentral:rRNA from 1 species
GACGAACGCUGGCGGCGUGCCUAAUACAUGCAAGUAGAACGCAGUUGCGAACGGGUGAGUAACGCGUAGGUAACUGCCUGGUAGCGGGGGAUAACUAUUGGAAACGAUAGCUAAUACCGCAUACUACUAGAUGGACCUGUGUGGUAUUAGCUAGUUGGUGGGGUAACGGCUCACCAAGGCAACGAUACAUAGCCGACCUGAGAGGGGAAUCGUCCACACUGGGACUGAGACACGGCCCGAACUCCUACGGAAGGAAGCAGUAGGGAGUCUUCGGCAAUGGACGGAAGUCUGACCGAGAAACGCCGCGUGGGUGAGAAAGGUUUUCGGAUCGUAAGGCUCUGUUGUAAGAGAAGCGGUAUCUAACCAGAAAGCCACGGCUAACUACGUGCCAGCAGCCGCGGUAAUAC